UACGAAGGUUGCAAGCGUUAAUCGGAAUUACUGGGCGUAAAGCGUGCGUAGGCGGUCUUUUAAGUCCGUUGUGAAAGCCCUGGGCUCAACCUGGGAAUGGCAGUGGAUACUGAGAGGCUGGAGUGCGGUAGAGGAGGGUGGAAUUCCCGGUGUAGCGGUGAAAUGCGUAGAGAUCGGGAGGAACAUCAGUGGCGAAGGCGGCCCUCUGGACCAGCACUGACGCUGAGGCACGAAAGCGUGGGGAGCAAACAGG
rnacentral:rRNA from 1 species